UUGUAGGCAUCUUCUGGGGGGUCUUGUUAAAAAGGAAAGAUUCAGGAAUUGCCUGGCGGUGCAGUGGUUAGGACUUGGCGUUUUCCACUGCCGUGGCACGGGUUCAAUCCCUGGUUGGGGAACUAAGAUACCACAAGCCGUGGUGAGGCCAAAAAAAACACCCCCAAAACAAAAAAGACAGAUUCCCGGUCCCCAGCCCUGGAGAAUCCUGAUGCGGGAGGUCUGAGGCGGGCCCGGGAUCUGUGUUGACAGCCAGCUGGGAACAGGACAAACAUCCUUCUGGAAUUUUCAAGGGCUCUGUCCCUCCAUCUCCCAGAAUAUCUCCAAGAGGGCAGAGAUCAAGUGGGACUGAGAAGGAGGGUGCAGGGCCCUGGGCCGCCUGUCUGUGCUGAUCCGCGUCUGAUCUUCUGUGGCCCCUCCUCACGCAGGCCACUUGGAUUUCUGCCUUGACCUGAAGAUCACUUCUACCUUUUAAGGCAACCUCUCUCCUCCCUCUUCCUCAGAGCAUGAUGCCAUGACAGGGCUCCACCCAGACCAGCUGAGUGUGAAUCUCCAGGGGACGUGGGUUCGAGCCCUGGUCCGGGAACAUCCCACAUGCCGCGGAGCAAGUAAGCCCAUGCGACACAGCUACUGAGCUCUCAUGACACAACUACCGAGCCCGUGUUCCGCAACAAGAGAAGCCACCGCGAUGAGAAACCCACACACCACAACGAAGAGUAGCCCCCGCUCGCCGCAACUAGAGAAAGCCUGCGCCGCACACAGCAACGAAGACCCAAC